rnacentral:piRNA from 1 species
UUCAAGCCUGGUGGAGACGGAUGAAUAGG